GCCUUUGUAGCUCAGUUGGUAGAGCGCUGCGUUGAAAGCGCAGGCGUCAGUGGUUCGAACCCACUCGGAGGCACCA
rnacentral:tRNA from 1 species